UAAAAACUAUUGUGGUAGCAUCUCCUUUUGUUUCUGUUAGUAUAUUUCUUCCUUAAAUUACCAUUUUAUCUGAGGGUACUGUGAUUUUGUUUAGUGUUUGUCAGUUGUAUCUUUUACAGUUAUCUUGUUUUGUCUUUUUGCCUUAGAUAUAGUUCUCAUAGACAGAACUUAACACCAAUUUUUAAGCCAAAUUGAACUUAUUUGCAUAAAACCUAAUCCAUCUAUAUUUAUUGUUAUUACUGAUAUAUUUAAACUUAUUUAUGUCAUCUUACCAUUUUCUUUACUCCUGUGGUACUCUUUUGAAAUGGGAAAGUUUUUACAAAUUCUCUUUAAUGGUUGUCCUUGAAUUUUUUAAUAAACAUCUUUGUAAUUUCCCCCAAAAUCUCCCAUAGAAAUUUAAAUUGCCCUGCAAUGCUCUUUCCCCUGGAGUGCUUAAAACAUUAUACAUAUGCACAAACAUGAGGGUAGAAAACUCUCAUCACUUCCCAAAAACUAUACAGUAGCCAAGGAAAAUGUUUGUGUAUCAAUGCUAAGCAAGUAGGAAGACCCAAAAUUUGAGUGUCUCAUUGGUGAAAGUAUGUAAUAUAAUAUUGUUUUGAUCUUCAUUGUCCAUAUUCAGCAUGUUAUAUACUGUAUUUUAUCUCUUCUUGAAGAAACAGUGAAUGAAACUUGAAAAACAGAGUGACACAAACUGUGAAAUAAGCCAGAGUGUUACUACAGCAUCGGUUCUCACAAAGAUUUGUCUAGAUAUGAAGAUAGAAACUCUGCUGGAGCUGCUGCAUAUGUCUUACUUGGACAUCUAAUAAGGCUCAGCCAGCAUGAUGUCACCAGUGCACUGGGCCAACCAGCCCUUCUGUGGGGUGGAAAGGUGAGCAAAGAAAAUGAAAAUGUAUUCCACUGUCUUCCAGCUCCCUUUAUUUCCAUCAAGAAAUCUGCUGUCAUAUCCUUUGUUGGUUAUUUUAGUUUUCACUUUCAUUCAGUUUUAAGUACUUUUCUUAAUCUUAUUCUACAGCUGUUAAUACAAUGUUUCUUGGCAGAUUUUUGGGUCAAUGUACUUAGGAUACAUUAUAGUUUCUGACCCCUAGUGAUGCUAUGGACAUUUGGCUUGGAACAGCUCAAUCUCUCCAAUUUCUUUUGUGUUCACUGUUUCAAGGUCUGGAUUUAGCUCAUUUUUUUUUUUUUUCAGGGAGAAAGUAAAUCUUCAGAUAUUUUAUUUUAUGAGAAUCCACAAUGCAAUUAAACAUUUAUUAUAUACAGUAUCUAGUUAUAUUUUAGUGGGAGCCCUUCAAAAUGCUGCCCAUUGAAAAUAUUCAGCCCAGAAUAUUUACCAUAAAUUCCAUGUCUGAAAUAACUAUAUUGUUAACAUACUGGAAUGAUAUAAAAUAAUUUUAAAGAUUAUCAAAACACCUGGCAUUUUAAAAAUAGAAACUCUCUAGUUAUGUUUAAAACAUUAGAGUUUAUAGAGAUUAAAAGUGUUUUCUUCCUUUAAUCACUAUUCUGGAAUCUCAGUCUGAGCUGUUCUACUCUGCUCCUUAAUGCUGAGAACAUUCUGAAGGAUUUACUUUUGUUUAAUAUUUAUAUAUUCUAGAUUUCAUGUUCUUUUCCUGAAGGCAAUGUAUAUAUUCAUAGUGAAUUAUUUAGCAUCAAUCAUGGGCAACCUUGAUGCUGCUUCUUUUAAUCUUUCUGACUAAGAAAUGAUGUUCUCAUAGGUAUGCAAUGAAACAUGGUUUUGAGAGUCUUUUAAAAAAAACCAUAUAUUAAAACCUUUUGAGAAUCUAAGCAAAACGGUUUGUUUCCCACCAUUAACAUUAAUGUAAUGCAAUCUUUAUUUCUGGAAUAGCCAAUAUUCACAGUAAUAGAAGUUUUAGAAAAGACUCACUCUUCAAUUCUCUUUGCCAAUUUACUCAAACAUUAUCAAAAAGAUUGUGUAUUGUAGUUUUCUUCUUGAGAGAAAUAUAGACAAUAAUCUCUUUGAAAAGAGGGGGAGUCAGAAUACCUGUUGUGGUAACGAACCCAACUAGUAUCCAUGAGGACUCAGGUUUGAUCCCUAGCCUUGCCCAGUGGGUUAAGGAUCCGGC
rnacentral:lncRNA from 1 species